UAUAUAUAUAUAUAUAAAAGAAUGAUCAUUCGAGAACCUAUAGUUUUCCGAAAACCAGAGAACUAAAAAUGUUGAACUAUAAUUAUAAUUAUGAUUCAAAUAAAUGGUACGCUUGGUUUUUUAAAUAAAAUGACGAGGUUAAUUUGGGUAUUAGAACCUAAAAAUAUCUAAAAAGUAGCUAAAUUAAUAUUCUAAAUAAAAUCGUUUACUGUUCUAUGAUUUUAUCCCUUUUUUUCUCUCACAUUUUGAUACACAUCUUUGACGUCAAUUCGUCGGAGUAUACUUCCAUCGCCGACCUUAUUUCGUCCUCCUCUGUCGAUUGAAGAUUUGAACGGAGAAGUUGAUCCCCAAUCAAUCGUAGAUCUGAUCGAAUGUUCAGUUGAAGAAGACGGUUCUUUGUUGAUCCAAUAUUACGGUUCCUCCGACGAAUCGAUUUUUUGACGCCUUCGACCAUGUAUCUUGAAUCGACAGUAGCCGAAUAUCGCUCAUUCCGGUGGUUAAUAUCUUGUUCUCAUGUCUUCUUCCUCGGAUGAUUAGGUCACCGAAGAUUUCUCAUUCCGCUGUUUGAAGAGUAGCAAAUUGAAUUCUUUCCAUUGGUGCAUAUCAUCGUUAAGGUAGGUUUGCUUAAUCACAAUUUGAAAUCAAAUAGUUAGAAGCCAAAUAGCUUACGUGUUUCAAAGAGUCAAAUUGUUUAUUAAUAAAUGUGGAUAUUAAUAUAAAAAGAUUAACAUAAUUAACACAAAGUCCAUUUUGCUUUUGUGUUCAUGCAAAUUGUCUUGAUGAAUUUCAUUUUAACAAUAUUUAGAGGGUGUUUGGCUUAGCUUUUUAGAAGCCAAAAGUCCUUUUUGGAAAAGAUAGAAGGCAAAAGAUGUUUGGCAAAUGCAUUUUAGAAGCUACUUUUGGAUUUGGAUACAUGUAAAAAUGAACUUUUUGGAUUUGGAUACAUCUAAAAAUGAACUUUUUGGAAAAGUCAGAAAAACCUGACUUUUUGUGACUUUUCCAAAAAGGACUUUUGCCCCCUGAAAAGCCAAGCCAAACACCCCCUUAAUUUCAUUUUGAAGAAACACAGUAGGAAAUAUCUGAUGACAGAUCUACAACCUUUCUUUUGAAGUUAGUUUUGUACCUCUUUUAUAGUGUUUUUGUAAGUUUAUAACAUUGCAACAGAAAUCAUGUAUUGGACUAUACUUUAUCAACAUGAAUGGAACAUCCAAAAAUUUAAGCCAAAUUUAAACUUUUCCAAAACACUUAAAAUCAUUCAACAUUACAUAGUUUGUUUUCAAAAUACUAAUUAUCAGAGUAUCCCAAUAUCAAAUCAUAAAAAUCAUAACACCUAGAGGAGCGAUACGAUCAUGCCUUUGCCUUCCCGCGAUCACCAGAGGUACCUGAAACAAAAAUUGAAACUGUAAGCCUGAAAGCUUAGUGAGCUACCCCCAAAAUACCAAUAUCAUAACCAUAUCAUAUAAUUAUAUAAGCAAACAUCAUGCAUAAUGAGCCUUCAGCCUGACUGGACCGCCUCGUAAGCCUUCAGUCUAUCUGGACCGCUCCCCGCGCCUUCGGCACGUCUGGACCGCCUCCUAGGGCCUACAGCCUAUCCGGACCGCUCGUCAGGCCUUCGGUCUGACUAGCAUAUCCUCCUGGGUCUGUACUAUAUCUGGAUCGUGCCUUAGACCCUGUUGAUAUAGUGAGGAUAACUCACCUCUUAAGUGUCGCACUAAAGUGAAAACUCAACUCUCGGAUCACCAACACGAACUCCUCUACCUAAAGUUACCACAAAACCCUUUUUCAUAAAUUUCCAAAUCACCAAAAAUACCCCAGGGGGUCAACUGGUCAACCCUUGGUCAAAGUCCACGUUCACAUUCAAAGUCAACAGUCCAUGUUGACCCAACUCGUCGAGUGCAGUUCACCGAUUGGUCGAAUUCUUCCUGAGCUCGAGAAGUCGUGAAAUCCUAGGUUGACUCGUCGAGUUCAUACGUGUCAAAAGGUUGAGAGAAACCUUAGCCGACUCGCCGAGUUCAAGGCAAUUUUCAACGGGCUCGCCGAGUUGUUCAUCCAACUCGUCGAGUACAUGGCCAUCUUCAUGUGGCUCGCCGAGUUGACUAUGCAACUCGACGAGUCCUUUCAGACCUUCAUCCAUACAGACACUUUUUAAGCCGUGCCAAGGUUCCAAAUUAUAGAUCCAAGCUUCUAAGGCAUGAUUAUCAUGUAAAGUUGCAAACUUUACGUGCAUGCAAGGCCUUAGAGGCUCUAAAUGACCAAUCUAAUCUUCCAAUGGAGCUUUACACCUUAGGAGAGUCUCAUCCUUGCAAGAGCUGGAAGCUUUAUGGACUUAGAAGCCCAAGAGAGUUUAGUUCUAAAGUUACAACUUCAGAUCUUAGCUUAUACACAAGAAAAGCUUCCAAACAUACUAGGAAAACCCUAAAAUUUGCCCAAAAAGGGAUCUAGAAAUGAAAUGAGGUCAGGAUAGCGAUUUAAUACCUUCCAAAAGAUGCCAAAUAAGAUAGAUUUUGGAUCCCACAAGCUCCUUGCUUUUGGAUACUUGAUCUCCAAGCUCUUUCUCCAAAACAAUCCUCUUCCAAGCUCAAGAAUACACAAAUGGAACACACACACUCGAUUAGGGUUUGAGAGGGACAAGAAGGAGUAAAUGGGAGGCUGGGGGAGGCCAAUGAUCCUUUAAAUAGGGUGAAAAACCCCGGGAUUUAGGGUUUCAUAUGCCAGCUCCUACUCGUCGAGUCCCUUCUUGGACUCGGCGAGUAGGUCAUUAAAACGCGUGGACCAAUCCGCUGCUACCCGACGAGUAGGGAAACCAACUCGUCGAGUAGCCCUUGAAAUCAAGAAACUUUUAUAUUAAAUCAAUACCUGAGAAUCGGGGCGUUACAAUGAACCAUUAACUUGUUUAUUAAUUUACUUAUGAUCUGAUCUAUGGAUAUGGCAGCAGGUCCUCUUUGGGCUAUCUGCUACAAAAUUAGAUAUCUUGGAUACAUAUGAAGGCAAGGAGUAUGAAAAAAAGGUUAUUAAUGUUUCUUUGGUGAUAUUUUUUUUAUAAUCAAAUUGAUAUUUUAGAUUCAAAAAUUUUCAAAUGCACGUAAUUCAAUAAGAUCUAUGAUUAUUAAAUUAUUAUGAUUUUUAUUCAAAUGGAUAUUCUAGUUUUUUUUUAAUGAUUACGAGGUUCACUUAACGAUAUAUAAGCUUCUAUUCAUUCGAGUGCAUGUCCUUUCUAAUGCUCACCUACGGUUGGUGGAGAAGAUGUGUGUAGAAAUAAGCUUACUUGGAAAUUACCUUAAACCCAUGUCCUUUCUAGUGCAUUUGUUGGAAGAUUUGGAAGAAUUUGUGGAAAAUAUUGAAGAUGUUAAAAGUGAUCAAUUGAAGAAAAUUUGGAAAUCUUGACAUGAAAACAUGAAAACUCUUAGAAAUUUUGUAGCAUUUUUUGUUUAUUAUAUUUUAUUUUGUAUCAAACAAAAUACUUGUAGUAUUGUGUUUAUAGAUUAGUAAAUAAAAAUGAGUUUUUUUUUUUU